GUCCACUCGUUUUAUAAACAGAUUUCCACAUGAAUGGCUGCUUAUGAAAGACUGUAGAGCCAAGGCAGGAGCAGGGAAACUGCCAGAAGACUACUAUGGUCAUCCAGCUCUUAAACUUGAAGGCUAUGCUACCAUAUGAGAAAAAAUGUUAAUAAUGAUGUCUUUUAUAGCUCAAAGUUAUGAACAAAUUAAAAGAGUUUAUGUCUUUUGCUGCU